AGCGGGUGUAGUUCAAUGGUAGAACGAGAGCUUCCCAAGCUCUAUACGAGGGUUCGAUUCCUUCACCCGCUCC
rnacentral:tRNA from 1 species